rnacentral:lncRNA from 1 species
AGCAGGUCUGCAGGCUCAGCUUCAACGUGAAGCCACGCGUGAACACAGCUCUCAGUGGGAAUGACCCAACCCUUCCAGCUCCCAGCGGGAGGCUGCAUGAGGUCGUUCCCCCUUUCCUGAUGAGGAUGCUGAGUCUGGAAAAUAGGGACAUGCAAAAGGCAGCAGCAACACGAAUGCCCACCAUGACAACCACACUGAAGCUGUGGCUGCUGUUUCAUGGACUUGGUUAAGUUGCCUGAAUUAUAAAUGGGCUUUGAGUCCCCCGUUCACUGGAGUAGCACAGAACUCUCAAGCCACGCAGCAAAACAAAGCAAUCUUUGCCAUAGAGAACACCUCUGCUUGCAAAGAGCUUUGCUGCACAGCCUGAAAAUCCAAGAUGAAAAGGCCUAUUUGCGUUUCUAUUUGUGUUGUUUGAUGUUGCCUACUAAAUACAACUGGAUCAAGCAGCACUUCAGCGCUAGAAAAACUAUCCAGCAUCCUGAGCACUCGUGUGGUUGGACUUGGCUUUGGGUGUUGACUCAUAGGCAGUGCUCACUGUGCUGAAUGGAGGAACCAUGGCUGCAGCAUUACUGAAAGCUCAGAGGAGUGAAGCAGUGCUCACUGCCUGGAGAACAUGAGCCCAACUGUCAAUCUGUCCAUCCGUCCAUCCAUCCACCCAUCCACCCACCCACUCAUCCAUCCAUCCAUCCAUCCAUCCAUCUGUCCGUCCUCCCAGCUCCAUGCCUCUCUUCCACCACCACAGAACUGAGAGUGCAGUACAGCCAGAGUGAACCAAAAUCCCAGGGAAAUAAUGUGAUUAUUUCAAAAAGCAUUAAUUUAAGAAGAUGAUCGUGAGCUCUUUGCUGAGUCCCACCUGAUUUAUCCCCCAUCAG